rnacentral:tRNA from 1 species
GGCGCUCGUAGCUCAGCUGGAUUGAGCAUCGGAUUUCGAUUCCGAGGGGCGGGAGAAGCCCGCCCAAGCGAGGGUGGCGCAGGUGGUUGGCAGGAAACCUGUGAGCCCCCGCCCGGCGCCU